rnacentral:rRNA from 1 species
UACGGAGGGUGCUAGCGUUGUUCGGGAUUACUGGGCGUAAAGGGCGCGUAGGCGGCCGUUUGCGUCGGAUGUGAAAGCCCGGGGCUCAACCUCGGAACGGCAUUCGAUACGGGACGGCUGGAGACCGGGAGAGGAGAGUGGAAUAGCCAGUGUAGAGGUGAAAUUCGUAGAUAUUGGCUGGAACACCGGUGGCGGAAAGCGGCUCUCUGGCCCGGUUCUGACGUGAGGCGCGAAAGGCGUGGGGAGCAAACAGG